UGGGGAAUAUUGGACAAUGGGCGCAAGCCUGAUCCAGCCAUGCCGCGUGUGUGAAGAAGGCCUUUUGGUUGUAAAGCACUUUAAGCGAGGAGGAGGCUACUUGGAUUAAUACUCUAGGAUAGUGGACGUUACUCGCAGAAUAAGCACCGGCUAACUCUGUGCCAGCAGCCGCGGUAAUACAGAGGGUGCGCGCGUUAAUCGGAUUUACUGGGCGUAAAGCGUGCGUAGGCGGCUUCUUAAGUCGGAUGUGAAAUCCCUGGGCUUAACUUAGGAAUUGCAGUCGAUACUGGGAAGCUAGAGUAUGGGAGAGGAUGGUAGAAUUCCAGGUGUAGCGGUGAAAUGCGUAGAGAUCUGGAGGAAUAACGAUGGCGAAGGCAGCCAUCUGGCCUAAUACUGACGCUGAUGUACGAAAGCAUGGGGAGCAACCAGG
rnacentral:rRNA from 1 species